rnacentral:rRNA from 1 species
CGCCAGACUCCUACGGGAGGCAGCAGUGGGGAAUAUUGCACAAUGGGGGAAACCCUGAUGCAGCGACGCCGCGUGAGCGAUGAAGUCUUUCGGUAUGUAAAGCUCUAUCAGCAGGGAAGAAAAUGACGGUACCUGACUAAGAAGCCCCGGCUAACUACGUGCCAGCAGCCGCGGUACUACGUAGGGGGCAAGCGUUAUCCGGAUUUACUGGGUGUAAAGGGAGCGUAGACGGCUGUGCAAGCCAGAUGUGAAAGCCCGGGGCUCAACCCCGGGACUGCAUUUGGAACUGCGUGGCUUGAGUGUCGGAGAGGCAGGCGGAAUUCCUAGUGUAGCGGUGAAAUGCGUAGAUAUUAGGAGGAACACCAGUGGCGAAGGCGGAUUACUGGACGAUAACUGACGGUGAGGCGCGAAAGCGUGGGGAGCAAACAGGAUUAGAUCCCCUAGUA